UCUUUGGAUGAACUACAUUUAUGAGCCUUA
rnacentral:piRNA from 1 species